rnacentral:rRNA from 1 species
AACGAACGCUGGCGGCAUGCCUAACACAUGCAAGUCGAACGAGACCUUCGGGUCUAGUGGCGCACGGGUGCGUAACGCGUGGGAACCUGCCCUUAGGUUCGGAAUAACUCCCCGAAAGGGGUGCUAAUACCGGAUAAUGUCUUCGGACCAAAGAUUUAUCGCCUUUGGAUGGGCCCGCGUUGGAUUAGCUAGUUGGUAGGGUAAAAGCCUACCAAGGCGACGAUCCAUAGCUGGUCUGAGAGGAUGAUCAGCCACACUGGGACUGAGACACGGCCCAGACUCCUCCGGAGGGCGGCGGUGGGAAUAAUUGAACAAUGGGCGAAGGCUUGUCCCGGCAUUGCGGGGUGGGUAAUGAAGGCUUUGGGUUUGAAAACCUCUUUACCCGGGAUGAUAAUGACAGUACCGGGAGAAUAAGCUCCGGCUAACUCCGUG